rnacentral:rRNA from 1 species
GAUGAACGCUGGCGGCGUGCCUAAUACAUGCAAGUCGAGCGAACGGACGAGAAGCUUGCUUCUCUGAUGUUAGCGGCGGACGGGUGAGUAACACGUGGAUAACCUACCUAUAAGACUGGGAUAACUUCGGGAAACCGGAGCUAAUACCGGAUAAUAUUUUGAACCGCAUGGUUCAAAAGUGGAAGACGGUCUUGCUGUCACUUAUAGAUGGAUCCGCGCUGCAUUAGCUAGUUGGUAAGGUAACGGCUUACCAAGGCAACGAUGCAUAGCUGACCUGAGAGGGUGAUCGGCCACACUGGAACUGAGACACGGUCCAGACUCCUACGGGAGGCAGCAGUAGGGAAUCUUCCGCAAAGGGCGAAAGCCUGACGGAGCAACGCCGCGUGAGUGAUGAAGGUCUUCGGAUCGUAAAACUCUGUUAUUAGGGAAGAACAUAUGUGUAAGUAACUGUGCACAUCUUGACGGUACCUAAUCAGAAAGCCACGGCUAACUACGUG